UUUAAUCCUAAUUUCUAAAAAUUUUGUGUCCAAGGUGUUUCUUCUGGAAAAUAAGAAACAUAAAGUUUUUGGCCUUUUUUCAAAGAAGCACUGAUUUUGACAUGUACUCUUGGAUGCUUUUCUGGUGUUUUUCUGGCAUUUCAGUCACUUUUCUGGUGUUUUUGCUUUAUGCAUUUUGCUUUUUCCAGUAUCUAUGCGUUAAAGUGGGUGUAGGUGUGAAUGUAUGGUUUUGUGUUCCUUUUCUAGUGUAGGCAUUUUAUUGUACUAUGUAAUGCUAGUAUACAAAAAGGUAUUUUUAUUAAAACCUUAAUAUUAGUAGCAAACUGUUCCAGUUAUCUAUUACUGUGUAAAAGCAACAGCCAUUUUCCCGACAUAGUGGCUCACAUCUGUAGUCCCAGCAGUUUGGGAGGCCAAGGUGGGAGGAUUGCUUGAGCCCAGGAGCUCAAGACCAGCCUGGGCAACAUAGUGAGACCCCUCAACAUGUAUAUAUUAUAUAUAUAUAUAUAGUUUUUGAUGUAUUUGACAGUUUUGAGGAGUACUGGUGAGGAAUUUUGUAGAAUGAUUUUUCAUUGGAAUUUGCUAAUAUUUUUCUCAUUAUUAUCCUGGGGUUAUGAGAUUUUUAGGAAGAAGAUCACAGAAGUAAAGUGCCAUUUUCAUCACAUCAUUUUAAGGGUACAAAUUAUCAACAUGAUUUGUGAUUACUGAUGUUCACCUUGAUCACCUGACUGAGGUAGUGUUUGCCAUGUUUCUCUAAGUGCCUUGAACAGUACCUGCCACUCAAUAGGAUGUCUGAUUUGAAAGUGAUCCUGGCUUGGGAAAAGUCCAUCAGGUGACUAUUCUCCAUCUUCUUGGGUGUCCAGAGGGUGUUGGAGUGGCUCCAGCAUAGCUACAAGGGCAGGCUCUGAGGUGGUAUCUGCCCCCAAAAAUCAUUUCUGUGUUCCAUGAGCAUCAUUUGAGAAGACCUGCUGCAUCAUCCCUACCAAUAAGGCUGUAAGCACCGGAUUUCCUGUAUCAUGUCUUUUCUAGCUUAAAAUAUAGUGCUUUUUCCUUCUCAGAAGCCUGACUAAAAAAAAGAAAGGAAAGGUGAGAAAAAGAAAAAAAUGGAAUAAAGAUGUCUAUGUCACAACAGGAAUUUUGCCUUGAGAAAAAGCCCUGGUGAGAGCAAUACAACUCUGCUGAUCUGUCUCUUUCCUUCCAUGGGCUUUCCUCUUCUGGGUCCUGUUUAUCGGCCACCCUCAAUUUUAAUUGCACAGUUGAAGGAUGCUUCUGGAGACUGUUAUUCUUGGGACCACAGUUGCUGACUUCUGUGGCACAAGCUCUUCUUCCCCACUUGAAAAUUAGAAUUGCUGGAACCAGUGUCAUUAUCCCAGCAUGCUCCAUCAUCACCAAG